GGGCAAAGUCUGGUGCCAGCAGCCGCGGUAAUUCCAGCUCCAAUAGCGUAUAUUAAAGUUGUUGCAGUUAAAAAGCUCCGUAGUUGAAUUUCGGGAUUGGCGCAUCGGUCGUGCCUCACGGGGUAUGAACUGGUGCAGUCAAUUUCUCACCUUCUGGAGAACCGCGAUGUCCUUAAUUGGAUGCCGCGGGGAACCAGGACCUUUACUUUGAAAAAAUUAGAGGU
rnacentral:rRNA from 2 species